rnacentral:rRNA from 1 species
AUUGAACGCUGGCGGCAUGCCUUACACAUGCAAGUCGAACGGUAACAGGUCUUCGGAUGCUGACGAGUGGCGAACGGGCGAGUAAUACAUCGGAACGUGCCUAGUAGUGGGGGAUAACUACUCGAAAGAGUGGCUAAUACCGCAUGAGAUCUACGGAUGAAAGCAGGGGAUCGCAAGACCUUGUGCUACUAGAGCGGCCGAUGGCAGAUUAGGUAGUUGGUGGGAUAAAGGCUUACCAAGCCGACGAUCUGUAGCUGGUCUGAGAGGACGAUCAGCCACACUGGGACGGAGACACGGCCCAGACUCCUACGGGAGGCAGCAGUGGGGAAUUUUGGACAAUGGGCGCAAGCCUGAUCCAGCAAUGCCGCGUGCAGGAUGAAGGCCUUCGGGUUGUAAACUGCUUUUGUACGGAACGAAAAGCCCUGGGUUAAUACCCUGGGGUCAUGACGGUACCGUAAGAAUAAGCACCGGCUAACUACGUGCCAGCAGCCGCGGUAA